rnacentral:rRNA from 1 species
AAUGAACGUUGGCGGCGUGGAUUAGGCAUGCAAGUCGCGCGAGAAGUCAUUUAGCUUGCUAAAAGACGGACAGCGGCGGAAGGGAGAGUAACGCGUGGUUAUGUACCCUCGAGACCGGGAUAGUGUCGGGAAACUGGCAGUAAUACCGGAUAACAUCUUCGGAUCAAAUGGUGUGAUUCCGCUCGAGGAUCGGACCGCGUACUAUUAGCUAGUUGGAGGGGUAAUGGCCCACCAAGGCUUAGAUGGUUACCGGGUGUGAGAGCAUGGCCCGGCUCACGGGGACUGAGCCACUGCCCAGACAUCUACGGAUGGCUGCAGUCGGGAAUCUUCGGCAAUGGACGGAAAGUCUGACCGAGCGACGCCGCGUGCGGGAUGAAGGCCUUCGGGUUGUAAACCGCUGUCAGUUAGGAGGAAAUCCAUGAGGGUUCUCUCUCAUGGUUGACCGAUUUUCAGAGGAAGGACGGGCUAAGUUCGUGCCAGCCGCCGCGGUAACAC